GGUUUUCUACCUUUAUGGGAAGGACCUCCACCACUGGAGACACAUCAGAGGGAGAAGUCUAAAGGCUGGAGGGUUAGCAGAAGGAUUGAAACAUUGUGCUGGAACUUUUGGCUGCAAACAUCUGUCAUGUGGCGUCCCCCUUCUGUUGGCCAUCGGAGUGUAUACACCACCAUGUGCAACCUUCAAACCGCCUAAUCACCAGCUCUGAGCGAAGCUCCACGUCUUUCAUCUCUGGAAGGCAGCCCAGACCAGAGACACCUCCUCUCAUCUCAACACCUCCUUCUGUCAGCCGGCACAGAGAGAAAAGUAUGAGAUCUUAACAAAUGUGGAAGAAGAAAGGUAUCUACAUUAAAAAAUCAGCAGACGUUGGACAGACCAGUAACUAGAGGAAAACGUUGGUCUUAUAUGUUCCUGCAAACCACUAAUCUGUCACAUUUGUACAUUUCAUA